rnacentral:rRNA from 1 species
AUUGAACGCUGGUGGCAGGCCUAACACAUGCAAGUCGAACGAGUGGCGGACGGGUGAGUAAUGUCUGGGAAACUGCCUGAUGGAGGGGGAUAACUACUGGAAACGGUAGCUAAUACCGCAUCCCAUCGGAUGUGCCCAGAUGGGAUUAGCUAGUAGGUGGGGUAACGCCUCACCUAGGCGACGAUCCAUAGCUGGUCUGAGAGGAUGACCAUCCACACUGAAACUGAGCCACGGUCCAGCCACCUACGGGGGGCAGCAGUGGGGAAUAUUGCACAAUGGGCGCAAGCCUGGUGCAGCUAUGCCGGGUGUAUGAAGCAGGCCUUCGGGUUGUAAAGUACGUUCAGCGGGGAGGCGUUACCCGCAGAAGAAGCACCGGCUAACUCCGUGCCAGCAGCCGCGGUAAUUC